AAUUAUGUGAGAUGAGGUGAACCUGUACCAAAAUUCCCAGGCUCACAGGUUUGGAGGACACCUGUUUGGAAGGGCCGUCUGAGAGAUUUGGAAAGAGGGACAGGUGAGGAUGAUCUGGCAGAGGAGGAGAGUUGCAAGCAUGUUCAGAACUCUCAAAGAACGGUCCCUUGCUAGCAGAAGUAUUUUCCUAAUCCUCUCUCCUCCUGACCGCCCUCCCGCACCAUCCCCGCCCUGCAUGUGGGUCUCACUUCCAGAGGCAGCUGCCUCACGUUCAGCUCCUGACACCUUCAGAAACUCUGCUAAUAAAUGCAGAUCGGAAAGCAUUCGGCCCAGGGGGACCAAUUUCUUUUUCCAUCACCUGUGGCUUCUCAACGUGAAAUUAAAAGUCAGCAGCAAGUAAUUGCAGCUGGCGGCAGCUCCCAGGGUUCAGUGGCUGCCAGGGGACCAGGUCUGUGUGCUGCCUGCCCUCUGUCCCUCCCACCUCCCAUCCUGAGAUUGAGCAAACUACGCGAUUCUUGGCUUUUUCACAAAAAUGAGACCCACGGCACUGUCAGCAAGAGGCUAGGUCACUUCAGCAAUUGUCACUGCAUCUCUGACUGCCCCGUCAUCUCAGAGCUAUCCUGAGACCAUGUGCAGACUGGCCAUUGUAAGCACUGGGACAGAGGAGGCCAGAGCAGCCUGGGCGGUGGGGCUGAGUGAGGGGGCACUGGGAAGCCGGGAUCCUUUGAACUGCAGGCUCUGUCAUCCUCAGCGUCACCGGACGGCCACCAGCGGCCAGACGUCUCUUCUGCAUUCAGGUGGUGGCGGAUUUGCUCUGAAUGUGGCUUGUCCUUCCUGUGAGCUGCUGACCCGACUUGGGGAGGGGGCGCGGACUAAAGCAGCAGAUGCAGGGGGUACUUUCUGACUGCAAGGUGAAGAGGACUCGUAACUGGCAGAGGCUGCAUAGAAGAGGAGCAGUCCCUGAACCUUCAGUGUUACCUGGAGACUUAUGGAGAACACUCAGGGGCCCACCCCAGACACUCUGGAACAGACUCACUGCAGGUGGGCUGGACAAGCAGUGUUUAAAC
ensembl:lncRNA